rnacentral:rRNA from 1 species
AUGGCGUGCGGGCACAGAGGCGAGGUUCUCCGGCGGCGGCGGGAACCUCCAGGCAGAGCGACCCCAUGGAUCCGUCCCUGCAGGAGAAAAGGAAUGAGAGGAGCAGCGGCGCUGGCCUCUCCUCUCCCUGCACCGCCGCUGUCCUGCGUUGUCACUGACGUCCCCAAGUGCUUCUCUCCAGAAAUGGUGCCACCAUGUCCAGAUCAAGUCAAGCGCCAGACAUAUGGAGGAAGAUUAGUUAGUAAUGCCCAUAUGAAUUUGAACGUACAAUUUAUAGACAUCCUUCAAUUGCAUUACAAGCCCUGGAAGAGCGACACCAGCCAGGUAGGCCUCUCCCUCCUCUCCAUGCUCCACAUGAGGUGUGCAGGUCACCACCGUGACAUAUCGUCUCUGCUCUCGCGGUUAUGCCUUACUUGCAGCAUGUGUGAUGUGUGCGUGCUUACUGAUGUGUGGCAAUUUCUUAAUUAUAAGUCCCAGUUUAUGCACUUUCUAGAAGGAUGA